rnacentral:lncRNA from 1 species
AGGACACUGUGGUUAGGACAAAACGGCAACCAACAGAUUGGGAAAAGAUCUUUACCAAUCCUAUAACAGAUAGAGGCCUUAUAUCCAAAAUAUACAAAGAACUCAAGAAGUUAGACCGCAGGGAAACAAAUAACCCUAUUAAAAAAUGGGGUUCAGAGCUAAACAAAGAAUUCACAGCUGAGGAAUACCGAAUGGCUGAGAAACACCUAAAGAAAUGUUCAACAUCUUUAGUCAUAAGGGAAAUGCAAAUCAAAACAACCCUGAGAUUUCACCUCACACCUGUGAGAAUGGCUAAGAUCAAAAACUCAGGUGAC